AAAUCCGGUUGAUCCUGCCGGAGGCGACCGCUAUUGGAAUUCGAUUAAGCCAUGCGAGUCGAGAGUCUUAGGGACUCGGCAUACUGCUCAGUAACACGUGGAUAACCUGCCCUGUUCUUUGGGAUAACCUCGAGAAAUUGAGAAUAAUACCUUAUAGUCCACUACGCCUGGAACGGUGAGUGGAUCAAAGCUCCGGCGGAACAGGAUGGGUCUGCGGCAUAUCAGGUAGUAGUGGGUGUAAUGGACCCACUAGCCUUCGACGUGUACGGGUUGUGGGAGCAAUCGCCCGGAGAUGGAUUCUGAGACACGAAUCCAGACCCUACGGGGUGCAGCAGGCGCGAAAACUUCACACUGCAGGAAACUGUGAUGAGGGAAUUCCAAGUGGCUAGACAAAGUCUAGUCUUUUUGUAACUUUUAAUCGGUUACAGAAUAAGGGGUGGGAAAGACCGGUGCCAGCCGCCGCGGUAAUACCGGCACCUCAAGUGGUCGUCGCUUUUAUUGGGCCUAAAACGUCCGUCGCCUGUUUGGUACAUUCGUGGGUAAAUCAACCAGCUUAACUGGUUGAAUUCUGCGAGGACGGCCAGACUAGGGACCGGGAGAGGUAUGGGGUACUCUCAGGGUAGGGGUAAAAUCCUGUCAUCCUGAGAGGACCACCUGUUGCGAAGGCGCCACACUAGAACGGAUCCGACGGUCAGGGACGAAGCCUAGGGGCACGAACCGGAUUAGAUACCCGGGUAGUCCUAGGUGUAAACGCUGUGGACUUGGUGUUGGGAAGGUUCCGAGCCUUCUCAGUGCCGAAGCGA
rnacentral:rRNA from 1 species